GACAACUGGCUUGCAGUGGCUAAGCAUUCACAGUAAUGUCGCUUUUUGAUUCUUCUUUGUCAGCUCUUCCUAUCACUGAGAGGCAGGAUUCACCAAGUGUUGGAUUGUUCACUCACUUGUAUGGAACGUGAGUUGGGCUUAGACUGCUAUGAGACAGGUA
rnacentral:ncRNA from 1 species